rnacentral:rRNA from 1 species
UACAGAGGGCCCGAGCGUUGCGCAGAAUCACUGGGCUUAAAGGGUGCGUAGGCGGACAUGAAAGUGUCUUGUGAAAUCCCACGGCUUAACCGUGGAACUGCUUGGCAAACUACAUGUCUUGAGCCUGACAGGGGCCGUCGGAACUCUAGGUGGAGCGGUGAAAUGCGUAGAUAUCUAGAGGAACGCCAAAGGUGAAGCCAGACGGCUGGGUCGCCGCUGACGCUGAGGCACGAAAGCGUGGGUAGCGAACGGG